UUAUCAGUCGCUGACGCCGCACGGAAACUUCUUAUUCUAAAUACCUACUAGCGUGGAAUACAAAAACUACUUUCUAAAAGGAUUGAUUUUUGAUGCCGUUGCAUAUCAAUAGGAAGUGGGUAAGUAACGCAAAUUGAAUUACCCCGCCGGAGUUUGAGGAAGUUGAAAUAGAAGAUGGUAUUUAU